CUCAAUACCAUAAACGGAAGAAAGCCAUGACGGUGGGCGAGUACCGCCACCUGGCCAACAGUGAAAAGUACCAGACUCCUCCACACCAGAGUUUUAAAGAUUUGGAGAGAAAAUACUGGAAGAAUCGCCUCUAUGGUUGCCCCAUUUAUGGUGCUGACAUCAGCGGCUCCUUGUUUGAUGAAAACACAAAGCAGUAGAACCUUGGGCGCCUGGAAACCAUUCUGGAUCUGUUGGAGCAGGAAUCUGGAGUUGUCAUCGAGGGAGUCAACACACCCUACCUGUACUUUGGCAUGUGGAAGACCAUGUUCGCGUGGCACACGGAGGACAUGGACCUCUACAGCAUCAACUACCUGCACUUUGGGGAGCCCAAAACUUGUGAGACCUGCUGCAGCAGGAAUGUGCAUCAUGGUCAUUGUCCUUGUGCAUCUGGGCGACCACCUGCCGGAGAUGCUGCUGCCAGGUCCAGGGCCACAGCCUACAGCUCCCAAGAGCUCAGCCGAGGCCCACUGGCCUCCCAGCGUCCAUCUGUCCCAGAUACCCACCUGUCAGCUGGCCAUCCUUCCCGUCAACUAAGGGUUCAAGAGCCGAUCCACCAGGGUCCAGUCAAGAAGUGCAGCUGAGGAGCGAAGCCCCAUGGGUGCCCAGGCAACCUGCCCC
rnacentral:lncRNA from 1 species